rnacentral:lncRNA from 1 species
AAGGUGUCAUUAAACCUAUGCAACAGUAUUGGUUUCAGGCAAAGAUAUUCUUUCUUGAAGUCAUUUGUGCUAUUCCAAGAACCUGGCAACACCAAUCAAGAACAUGAUGCACCUCAAUUACAAAAAAUGGGGCCCCCACCUAAAGACGUAAGACCAAACUUGCAGGAACUCAAACUUAUAAUCCUGCAGAAAUUAAAUGCUAUUAAUUUGUCUCCAUGACAAAAACCUUGGGUUUUUUUUUUCUCUUUUUCUUAGAAUAAACAGAGGAGCUUGGAUGAUUCCUUACAAUCUUGG